rnacentral:rRNA from 1 species
GACGAACGCUGGCGGCGUGCUUUACACAUGCAAGUCGAACGGUGAAGGUGGAGCUUGCUCCGCCGGAUCAGUGGCGAACGGGUGAGUAACACGUGGGCAACCUGCCCCUAACUUUGGGAUACCUACUCGAAAGAGUAGCGAAUACCGGAUAUGAAGUCUGUAGGCAUCUACGGAUUUGGAAAGUUUUUCGGUUAGGGAUGGGGCCUCGGCCUAUCAGCUUGUUGGUGAGGUAGUGGCUCACCACGGCGACGACGGGUAGCCGGCCUGAGAGGGCGACCGGCCACACUGGGACUGAGACACGGCCCAGACUCCUACGGGAGGCAGCAGUGGGGAAUAUUGCGCAAUGGGCGAAAGCCUGACGCAGCAACGCCGCGUGCGGGAUGAAGGCCUUCGGGUUGUAAACCGCUUUCAGCAGGGAAGAAGCGAAAGUGACGGUACCUGCAGAAGAAGCACCGGCUAACUACGUGCCAGCCGCCGCUGUAA